AAAAUGUUCAACAAAGUCAAAGGCUACUAACAAGUAGAGUAAGAAUGGUCUAGUAAAUGUCUACGAAAUUGGCAAUUUGAAAGUAAUUUUGAACUUUGACAGAAGAGUUUUUGUAUGAUGGAGAGAGAAGUAAAUUAUAGUGGGAGGCUAAUUAACAGUAGUUACGGAAAUAAAUGGUGGUUAAGGAAAUAGACACAGUGAGAAUGGAUUUUUUUGUUCGUUUGUAAACAGCAACGACAACAAACAUUUUACUGUGAUAGGAAAGAGAGAAAUCAGGUGACAGUUUAGGAGAGACAAAGAUUUUGAAAGUGUCAUUAUUUUUAAGAUUAUAAAAGACAUGAGGUUUGUGGUAGGUAGAGUAAUUCCUUCUUUCCUAAUCUCCUGGAACUGUAAAUGUCCUGACCCUCCUGCAAACAGUACUUUGCAACUGUGAUUAAAUUAAGGAUUUUGAGAUGGAGAGAUUAUCCUUGGAUUAUUCAGAUGUGCCCUGUGUAAUCACAAAGAUCCUUUAAAGAAGGCAGCGGAAGAAGAAGAAAGAGUACUGUGAACCAAGAAAUGCCAGUGGCCCCUAAGAGCCACAAAAGGCAAGAAACUGAUUCUUAUCUUAGAGUAUCCAGAAGGAACACAGCACAGCACUGCAGACACCUUGGUUUUAGACCAGUGAGACUUCUGACAUCCUUUCCCAAGUGAAUAGGGCAAGGCCUUACUUCUGGAAUGGGGACCUUAUGACCUACUUUAAAAGGAAUUUUUUUAUGACCAUGCUUGAGAGAAGAUGGGAGAAGAUCAGAGAGUGACCUCCUAAGAAGAAUGAGGUUGAGAAGAAAAAAUAGACUCUCCUACUAUGGAGAUGCAGAGUUUUCUUCAAGACAUUAGGUGUAAAGCUAUGGGCAGAGUAACUAUAAACCACCUUUUCAUGUGCAUCCUUGUCUAUGAAAUGGGGGCCAUAAUGCCAUGUUCAUGAAGAUAAAAUGAAGUAACAUAAAAUGGCUAGGCAAACAAGAUGAGUGCAAAGGUGUGGUUCUCUUGCCCAUUUUACGUGCUUUCUGGAAGAAUGUUUUGCUACAGUCCAGGGCGUGGCAGCUGCUUCAUUGUAACUCAACACUGGAAACUGGCUCCCCCAAAUAAUCUCCACAGUAAGCUGAGCUCUGUUGAGUGUAUCAAAAAUUGAGAGGGAGAGGACCUUGACCCUGGCGUGUCUGAACUACUUCUCCUCUGAAUGUUCCUAGGCUAAAACCAAACAUUCUUAGUAGAUAAUCUGUUCCCUUAGCCCUUUCUGUUUCUACCUUGUCGCAUGCCCUCUCCUCCUUCCCAGAUUCACAUUUAAUAAGGAGAAGGUCUCCCAGCAGCUCCUCUGGACCGAGCCACACCUCUGGUGUGGUGCUGCGGCUGCAGGAGCCCGCUGCGAACCUCCUGGUUUCCAUGGAGACCCUGCUUGGUGUCAAUGGCGGCUCGGGAGCGCGAGGGAAACCUAAGCGUUUGUAUUUAAAUGAGGGAAAGUGGGGGAAGGGGAAGCAAGAGGAAGGGAACAGGAGAGAGGUGGAUGGUGGAGGUGAGCCGGCGGGUGUUCAUGGACUUAGGGGACUAGAAAAAUCCAGCUGGGUUACUCAGUCAUCUCGGGAUCGCAGGUCAGAGGAGGCAGCAGGGGACAGAGAGGUGUUUAUUUCGUGCGUGAGAAAUAUCCGACUCCUUUCUGACAUCCGGGAGUAAGGGAUAGGCAACUAGGAAUUCCUUUUCAUGUGCCUGGCUCCUGGCGGACAGUGCUGCUUGGUUUUGUUUCCAAGAAGCAAGGGAGAGUUCUCACUUUGCCCAGAGUCUCAAACCUUAAAGAUUCAUCGCUGCUAUGGGAGGGGGCAUACCUCUGUCUUUCACUCUCGACCCUUUCCCGUGCAACAUAACUAAAUAGAAGCUCUGGAAAGACAGAUUCCAAAAGCUCUGGGGUCUGGAUUAACUGCUGUUUAUUGGCUGACAUUCUAGCCGGAGGUUGGGGGAGUAGGAGGAGGUUGGGCAGAAUGUAUGCCAAGAUUGAAUUGCACUAGGGUUCAGAUGACGUCAGCUUGAAUAAACGUCUGACCUAGCGAAUGUUAAAUGCGUCUGAGUGAGUGAAUCUUCCGAAGGGAUCGAUGGCAGAAACCUCCGUGAAAGGACCAUGCCACUUCUUUAAAAUAUUAAGCAUGUGAUUCUGCUUAUCGCCCCUGCAACUCCCAGAGCUCUGGUAGAAUCUCAGCUUUCUGCUAUAGUCACUGGAACAUUACUUACUGUCCUAGAUAACUGUGGGUCACGUGGAGUUUGCACCAAAAAAGGAAGUCUCUGAAAAAAGAAAAAGCUGUUAUAAGCCAUCAGAAUGCCUGCUAAUAUUACAAAGCGAAAGCAAUUCAAUUUAAUAAACACUUUAAGAGGUCUA